rnacentral:sRNA from 1 species
AGCUAUUAAUAGUAUUUUAAUAUACACAUAUAAGUAAAUACUUUUUUUUCUCCUUUUUUUUUUUUUCUUUUUUAAAUAAAUUUUAUUUUAUAUUAUGACUUUUUAAAUUGACACAUGACUUAUAUUUAUGUGUAUGCUGAUUCUUUAAAUUUGAAAGUUCAUAAUAUAAGAUUAUUAUAUUAAUAUAUAUAUAUAUAUAUGUAUAUAUAUAUAUAUAUAUAUAUUUUGUUUAAUUUUUAUUUCAUAUAUAAUUAACCAAUAUAUUUAUAUUUCAUAUUCUUUUUUCAUAUAUCAUAAAUAUAUUUUAAUACUUUACAGAGGGAUUGCAUUUUUCAUCCUUAUUUUUAUUUUUAUUUUUAUUUUUUUUUUACUUUUUUGUUCUUUUUAACUUUUAAUUUUUUAAAUUAGAAUCUUUAUUUAUAUUACAUUAUUUUGUUUGUACUAACCUUAUUUGUAACCGAUUUUUACUGUUCAUAUAUUUUAUAUACUGCAUCUUAUUUAUCGCCAUCCAAUUUAUUUUAAUUCUCUUAUACAUACAUAUACAUAUAUAUAUAUAUAUAUAUAUAUUUUAUAUGUUGCAUAUUAUAUUUCUCACAGGUACACUUUUGAUGUUUAUAAAUUUACAUGUUAUUUUUUUUUUUUUUUUUUUUUCUUUAUUUCUUUUUCUUUUUGUUUUUAUACAAGGAUGUAGUUCUAUUUUUCUUAUUACAUUUUAUUUCUUUUUUUUUUUUUUUUUUUUCUUUUCCCCAUUUUUUUCCAAACAUUCUUAUUUUUGAGUGUGUUUGAAAAAAAGAGGAGAAAAAAAAAAAAAAAAAAAAAUAUAAGAAAGAAAAAGAAAAAAGAAAAAAUGAUCAUCGAAAUCCUUAGAAAGCAUGGGAAGAAAUUCUCACCCUGAACCCAUAAAGUAGCUGAUUGUUUGCUCAUAAGUACCUGAAUUAUUGCGAUAAUGAAAAAAAAGAAAGGAAAAAAAACAAUAGCAUAUGGUUUGAUUCUUUCUUUUUUUUCGUAGUAAUUAAUCAUGAACAUGAGGUUGUAUAUAGGAAUUAGAGCGGAAAUAAAUAAAAGCGUAUAUUUUUUUUUUUUUUACAAAGCUCAUUGUCUUUUUGUAAUUGUAAAAAGAAAAAAAUGAAAAACAGAAAACAUAAAAAAGGAAAGAAAAAAAAAAAAAAAAGAAAAAGGAUAAAGACAAGGAGAACUCUUCUUUUUUUUUUUAUAUCUUUUUUUUUUUUUUUUUUUUUUUCUUUCCUUUUUUUUUGUUUUUUGUUUUUCGUUUUUUUUUUUUUUUCAAGAAAUCAAAAAGGUCCUUAUACUUCAAUCAGAUAACCAAAUGUUGCGCUAUUAAUGUCUCUCAAGUCGACCAGGAGAUAAUGUUAUAUUAUUAUUUUUUUUUUUCUUUCUUUUUAAAUAUUUUAUACUUUUUCAUUUUUAUGUUUUAUUAUUAUUAUUUUUUUUUUAUUAUUAUAGUUGUGAGAUAUAUGUAUUAAUAUUUUCUCUCGUCUUUUUUUUUCUUUUGCACUAAAAUAUUCAUUUUUGAAUGCCUAAAUGCAAAAGGAAAAGGGGGAAGUGAAGGAAGGAUAUUAUUUAUAUGCUCAUAAUUAUAAUAAUAAAAAAAAAAAAAAAAUAAUAAAACAUAAAAAUGAAAAAGUAUAAAAUAUUUAAAAAGAAGAAAAAAAAAAAAUAGAUAUACACACACGGAGAAAUAAUAUAUAUAUAUAUAUAUAUAUAUCAUUUCGAAGUAAGAAAGAAAAUUUAAUUUAAUUUUCUUUAUAAAUAUGGUCGGAAUCUAUCGGCAUUUUUUUCCAAGAAGCUAUAUAUAUAUAUAUAUAUAUAUAUAUAACUUCUUGAGAAAAAUGUUUUCAUUCAUGGAGCUGUUAACUCAGCGUGAAUACAAUAACAGGUUGUUUCAUUGCACACAUGAAUACGAUAGAAAAAAAAUGGCGAAGAUACAUUUCAAAUAUAUUUAUAUUUUCUGAAAUGAUAUCGAAAUUCGAUCUGCCAAAAUAAAGGAAAUUCAGAAAAUAUGUUUUUUCUUUUAUAAUAGUUAGCACAUUUAAAAUGAACUAUGGUAUUUCAGGGCUCAACAUAUAUAUAUAUAUAUUAUAUAUAUAUAUAUAUAUAUGUGAGUGUUUGUACUUAGUGAUUUCUUAUAUGAUGAUCUUAGAAAUAUAUAUAUAAUUAAAAUUAUUACUUAUUUAUGAGGAAUAUAACAUUGUAUAAAUUAUUUUGUUUA